UUUUCUCAGGACUUCUCCUCUGAGAGCCGUGUGCUCUCCGUCACCGUCACAGAUCCAGGACCUUUUAUCAUCCGAGCCGUCGUCCUGCCGCUGACUCAGCUGCUGGUGCUGCUGGUGACCGUCGGCCUUUACUUCUACUGUAAGGCCACCAGGGGGCGGAGGCCGAGCCGACAGGAGGACAUUGAGCUGGAUUACCUGGGUGUUCCUGCUGAAGAGGAAGGAGCUCAGGGAGCAGAGUAGCAGCUCCAAGGAGCUCCUCUCACACACAUUGGUUUAUCAGCUCUUAUAGCUUUUAACCAACGUUAGAAAAUAUAGCUUUCACUCUGAAAGUCACCAGCAAUGUGUUAGUGCCUCAUGUUUCCUGACUUCCUGUCAGCUCCAAGCCAAUUGGUUCCCACUGAAGAUGAAGAUCUUUAAAAAACAUCACAAGUUAGUUUUAUUUUUAAAAGUCAAUGCAGUCGGUGCAGUUUGAAAUCAGACACACCAACCCAGGCCGCUCAGGAACAAAGUUGGCCAAUGAAUGCCAUAUAUUAAUGUUCAAAUAUCCUCUAAAAACAGUGUUACAAAACCCAGUGUUUGAAUCUAAUGUAGUGAUUCCUGAGAUAACAGGAGGAACGUGUUACAGCGCCACCUAGUGUUAGAUUUGUAGACCUCGAGCACAACAAGGGUUUUUGUUAUUCAAUCAACAAACAAGACAAAGUACAGUUUUUAAAAUGUUACGUUUUUCACAACAAUUCAUCUGAUCAGCGAGAUAGGAUAUUUGAUCCCCUUGUGGGUCACAUGGGUCAUUUUAGCAGCACGGCCAGAUUUAGCUGAACAAUAUACAAAUAGGAAUUGAACAAAAGUAAAUAGUCCAAACACUUCUUAUUUCAUAACAAUGCAGAUGUUUUUUUUAUUGAAAAAUGUGAUUUCAGUUGAAUUUAGCUUGAUUUUAGUCUGAAGAGAUUGUUUGUAUAAAAAAAAAGAAGCUUUUUCAGAGAAAUCCGAUUAUAUUUGUAAUUUGCCAAAAAGUACAAGAUUUUAACUUUUCUUCAAAGUUCUUAUUUCACAUGUACUGAGCUCAGUUUGUAAUCAUUUUCAAUCAUUCAGUAUUUUUCUUACGUUAUAUCAUUUUUGAUGGUAUUUCUCUGUAUUUUGUAGUAAUUUAGCUGUUUUUAAGAA